rnacentral:rRNA from 1 species
GGGCUUUGCCUGCUAUCUCUUACCCAUGUCUUUUGAGUACUUACGUUUCCUCGGUGGGUUCGCCCGCCGAUUGGACAAUUUAAACCCUUUGCAGUUGCAAUCAGCGUCUGAAAAAAAUUAAUAAUUACAACUUUCAACAACGGAUCUCUUGGUUCUGGCAUCGAUGAAGAACGCAGCGAAAUGCGAUAAGUAGUGUGAAUUGCAGAAUUCAGUGAAUCAUCGAAUCUUUGAACGCACAUUGCGCCCCUUGGUAUUCCAUGGGGCAUGCCUGUUCGAGCGUCAUUUGUACCUUCAAGCUCUGCUUGGUGUUGGGUGUUUGUCUCGCCUUUGCGUGUAGACUCGCCUCAAAACAAUUGGCAGCCGGCGUAUUGAUUUCGGAGCGCAGUACAUCUCGCGCUUUGCACUCAUAACAACGACGUCCAAAAGUACAUUUUUACACUCUUGACCUCGGAUCAGGUAGGGAUACCCGCUGAACUUAAGCAUAUCAAUAAGCGGAGGAAAAGAAACCAACAGGGAUUGCCCUAGUAACGGCGAGUGAAGCGGCAACAGCUCAAAUUUGAAAUCUGGCGUCUUUGGCGUCCGAGUUGUAAUUUGCAGAGGGCGCUUUGGCAUUGGCAGCGGUCCAAGUUCCUUGGAACAGGACGUCACAGAGGGUGAGAAUCCCGUACGUGGUCGCUAGCCUUUACCGUGUAAAGCCCCUUCGACGAGUCGAGUUGUUUGGGAAUGCAGCUCUAAAUGGGAGGUAAAUUUCUUCUAAAGCUAAAUACUGGCCAGAGACCGAUAGCGCACAAGUAGAGUGAUCGAAAGAUGAAAAGCACUUUGGAAAGAGAGUUAAAAAGCACGUGAAAUUGUUGAAAGGGAAGCGCUUGCAGCCAGACUUGCCUGUAGUUGCUCAUCCGGGUUUUUACCCGGUGCACUCUUCUAUAGGCAGGCCAGCAUCAGUUUGGGGCGGGUUGGAUAAAGGUCUCUGUCAUGUACCUCUCUUCGGGGA